UACGGGGGGGGCAAGCGUUGCUCGGAAUCACUGGGCGUAAAGCGCACGUAGGCGGCUUCUUAAGUCAGGGGUGAAAUCCUGGAGCUCAACUCCAGAACUGCCUUUGAUACUGGGAAGCUUGAGUCCGGGAGAGGUGAGUGGAACUGCGAGUGUAGAGGUGAAAUUCGUAGAUAUUCGCAAGAACACCAGUGGCGAAGGCGGCUCACUGGCCCGGUACUGACGCUGAGGUGCGAAAGCGUGGGGAGCAAACAGG
rnacentral:rRNA from 1 species